GAAACUACAAAAAUAAUUCCAGAAAAAAACUAAAAUACAAAAAACCAAUUCAUCUACCAAAAGAAAUUGAAAAAUAGCAAAUGCUUUAAAACAACCCCUUGGCCGUGACGUACCUUGGUGUGCAUGCAAAGAGAAUUAAAAUAAGUUAAAUGCUUCUCCUUGUUAUCUUGGCCGUGAGAAUUUCAUGAGGUACAUCCAAAAAGCAAUUUAAAUGGUAAUGCUUCUUCUUGAUUUCUCCCUUUCACCAUGCACUUCCAACAUCUAUUAUAUUUUAAUCACCAUAUACUCCACUCAUUUCUCAAAGAUAAUUCAAAGCCAUUAAUUGAAAGCUAUUUACGUAUUCUACCACUCCAUCUAGUCAUGACCACUCAUGAAGAAAUACAAUCAUAGGCCAUGAGCCACUUCUUGUUCACGUGAAAGAGAACUCUUCACACGGCUCCACCAAUUAUUUCUUACUUUCCAUUUAAAAUCAAUCACUUCUUCUCUUAAUAAUAACAAAAGGAAUCUUAUUCUAAGAAACCAAAAUAGGUGCUGCAUGAAUGAUUCACGUUUCUCUUCAUUUUAAAUGAAACCAAACAAAGUGAAAAGGGUGGAAGGGGCUCUGCCUCUUGGUCUUAUGUCUUCUUCCAGCAGUGAUUCAAGAAUCAAAUACAGUUUUGCUUCCCUCCUCUAGCUCUUUGGACGUAUAUUCUCACACCAGCACCUUCUUCUCCUUCAUCAAGUCAUCAUCCCUUCAAUACACUUGCUAUCCUCCACGGGAAAAGAAGAAAAGAUUCCCCCAAAUUGCCGAGAGGAAGGAGUUUUUAAGAGAGACCUCCAAAUCCUUGUGUGUUGUCUCCUUCUGACCAUAAGCUUUAGGCUUGUCUCCUCCCCUAGCAUCUAGCUUCCUCAUUUUUCUUCAAUCAAUCCCCUGUGCUUGGACGUAGCUAUGCCAAUUGGUGUUUCAUGACAAAAAAUGAUGCCUAUAAUUUCCACGUGCAAUAAGCCAGCUGUUGUAAAACUUCAUUCUGAACACAUGUGGCAUACCAUGUCUGUUCUCAAUGUGUGUUGAAUUUCUCAUUGACCAAGGUGGUAUGUGUAUGUCCGUGA
rnacentral:sRNA from 1 species